UCUUCAUAGUUUUAAAAGCUUUAUAGUUUCAAGGAUUGACUAGAUUAUUUAAUUCUACAGAUUGCCUAUUAUAUAAAGGCUUGCUUUGUAUUGUUUUAUUUCAUUCAACCCUUUUAAUAAAAAUCUACUUUUUAAAUUUGUUGAAUCCUUUGUUCUUUGGAACAUCGUAAUGCUACGAGAGUGAUCUCCGUAAGCACGGUCUUGUUCACUAGUGGGGCUGCCUCUCACGGACUAAGACCAACCAACAAGUAUUUGGCCUUCCGCAGCCUUAUACUGAAGAACCAUCGAUCCACCUUUCCUUUGAUCCAUCUUUGGGUCAAAGCUUAUCUUUUUCACCAACCUUUGAGUGCAUUUCUUGGGAGAUUUUCUAUUAGUUGGUAUCAGAGCACACUUGAGGGUUCGGUGUUCACUUCUGUCAUUCACCAUUCUCAUCUUUCCAUCUUCUACAAAAAAAAAAAAAAAAAUCCACGAAAAAACAAGAGAUCAUUCCAUCUGAAGUUAAACCGAGACUGCUCCUCCAUCUCUCGUAAUGGCUCUAGGAGAUUGCUUCUCCAAAAGCAACCUGUUUUGAUCACUAGUGGGGCUGCCUCUCACGGUCACAGGUUCUAAACAUUAUGUCGGAUUUGAGGGCAAAUCCUUUUGAAGGAGGAGGGGAUGAUGUGACCUUGUUCAGCAACAAGCCAAUGUCGUAUAAUAUAUCAAUCUGACGGCAAUUCAGAGACCGUCGAUCAUGCAAAAAGAUACAACCAGC
rnacentral:lncRNA from 1 species